AAGCUUUAUAAAUUAAAAUAUCGAACGCACAUUACAAUGUAUCUCUCUCAGUCGCAGCUUAACGUAGACUAAAGAAAAAAACGCCCGUUUCAUAGUUUCCAACCUAAUAAUUACUUCAGAAGCAUACCCAUCGUUUAUAUAUUAUGUAGUUUACCCAUACUGAUCGUUGAUUGGACAGAGGAUCGAUAGUCGAGGAAAUCAUUAGAGGUAUUCCUACUUUCUACGCGGUAGAAAUUCUUCGUACGUAUGAUUACUACUAGAUGGCGUAUUAAGACAAUAUUUCUUCCUAGGUAUUCAAGAAUUCGAAAUGUUUUUUAUUUUUCUUACAAUUUGGAAUCUCUAAAAUAGGUCCUUAAAAUAUUAAGAUGUCAAUUAUAAUACUUCUAAAGUUAUACAGAUUUAGAGACCACGGCGUCGCAAAAAAUUGUUUCUUCAACCCUUUUUUUCGUCCUUUUCGACUUAUUCUUUGUCCUUUUACUUUGAUUCUAUUAGACGUAACAUUUCCGUUACAACGAUUAGUAUAUUUUUAAACUCUGAACGAAGUGGACGUGAAAUUUUGAAAAAUUGAUAGAAAAGGCGAUCAAGGCUUUGUUUAAAAAAGAUUCGCUUUCUUCUAUGGAAUUAUGAAUACUAGUCAAGGACUUACUGUAAAAAUAUAUUACACAUACCUUGAAAAUAAUCAUUGUUCAUGCGAAUCAGUCUACGACAUUGUGACGAUAAAAGCCGGCGAGGUAGAGAAAAGGAAAUACACUAAUACAACGUCUGAAUUAACCAUGUCCGGAGUUGAAAAAUAAGAUUGACACUUCGAAAUAAUAUGAAGAACAAACAAUCAUCAAGAUUUAGUUGACAAUAAAAGAAAAUGUUAUUGCAGAAAAGAUAGAGCAGAUAUUUUAUAAGAGCUUUACGAAAAUUCAGGAAAAUUUUUUUU